rfam:Marinobacter sp. BSs20148, complete genome.
GGGCGGUUAGCUCAGCUGGGAGAGCAUCGCCCUUACAAGGCGAGGGUCACUGGUUCGAUCCCAGUACCGCCCA